rnacentral:rRNA from 1 species
AGAGUUUGAUCCUGGCUCAGAACGAACGCUGGCGGUGCGUCUUAAGCAUGCAAGUCGAACGGCAAGGUUGCAGGAAACUGUAACCCUAGAGUGGCGGACUGGUGAGUAACGCGUGGGUGACGUACCCUAAUGACAGGGAUAGCCGGUAGAAAUACCGGGUAAUACCUGAUAAAGUAUUAAGGAAUAGAGGCUUAAUAUGAAAGGAACUUUUGUUUCGCAUAAGGAACGGCUCGCGAGCCAUUAGCUGGUUGGUAAGGUAACGGCCUACCAAGGCGACGAUGGCAACCCGGCCUAAGAGGGUGAACGGGCACAUUGGGACUGAGAUACGGCCCAGACUCCUACGGGAGGCAGCAGCUAAGAAUAUUCCGCAAUGGGGGGAACCCUGACGGAGCGACACCGCGUGGAUGAAGAAGGUCGGAAGAUUGUAAAAUCCUUUUAUAACAGAAGAAUAAGGUUAUGAAGAGAAAGCAUAGCGGGUGACGGUAUGUUAUGAAUAAGAGGCGGCUAAUUACGUGCCAGCAGCCGCGGUAACACGUAAGCCUCGAGCGUUGUUCGGAAUUAUUGGGCGUAAAGGGCAUGUAGGCGGUUUAGCAAGCUUGAUGUGAAAGGCGGGGGCUCAACCCCCGGAUUGCGUUGAGAACUGCAUAACUAGAGUAUCUGAAGGGCAAUCAGAAUUCCGGGUGUAGGGGUGAAAUCUGUAGAUAUCCGGAAGAAUACCAAUGGCGAAGGCAGGUUGCCGGCAGAAGACUGACGCUGAGGUGCGAAGGUGCGGGGAGCGAACAGGAUUAGAUACCCUGGUAGUCCGCACAGUCAACGAUGUACACUGGAUGUCUGGAAGAAAAACCGGGUGUCGAAGCAAACGCGAUAAGUGUACCGCCUGGGGAGUAUGCCCGCAAGGGUGAAACUCAAAGGAAUUGACGGGGGCCCGCACAAGCGGUGGAGCAUGUGGUUUAAUUCGAUGGUACGCGAGGAACCUUACCUGGGUUUGACAUACACUUUAAUGCAGUAGAGAUAUUGCAGCGUAGCAAUACGAAAGUGAACAGGUGCUGCAUGGCUGUCGUCAGCUCGUGCCGUGAGGUGUUGGGUUAAGUCCCGCAACGAGCGCAACCCCUACUGCCGGUUACUAACAGGUAAAGCUGAGGACUUUGGCGGAACUGCCGGUGACAAACCGGAGGAAGGUGGGGAUGACGUCAAGUCAUCAUGGCCCUUAUGUCCAGGGCUACACACGUGCUACAAUGGUAGGAACAGAGUGAAGCAAAGUCGCGAGGCGGAGCAAAACGCAAAAAACCUAUCGUAGUUCGGAUAGGAGUCUGAAACCCGACUCCUUGAAGUUGGAAUCGCUAGUAAUCGCACAUCAGCACGGUGCGGUGAAUACGUUCCCGGGCCUUGUACACACCGCCCGUCACACCAUCCGAGUGGGGGGUACCCGAAGCCGGCAGUCUAACCGCAAGGGGGACGCUGUCGAAGGUACGCUUCGUGAGGGGGGUGAAGUCGUAACAAGGUAACC